rnacentral:rRNA from 1 species
UACAGAGGGUGCGAGCGUUGUUCGGACUUAUUGGGCGUAAAGGGCGCGUAGGCGGUGCGGUAAGUCACCUGUGAAAUCUCCUGGCUCAACUGGGAGCUUGCAGGCGAAACUGCCGUGCUGGAGUGUGGGAGAGGUGCGUGGAAUUCCUGGUGUAGCGGUGAAAUGCGUAGAUAUCAGGAGGAACACCUGUGGCGAAAGCGGCGCACUGGACCACAACUGACGCUGAGGCGCGAAAGCUAGGGGAGCAAACAGG